rnacentral:pre_miRNA from 1 species
AGGUAGGACAAUCUAUCUUUAAAUAGGAGUACAUUACUCUUUUUUGAAAAAAGAAUCCUGGAUAGUUUUCCCUUUAAGUCAAGUGUCUUGC